rnacentral:rRNA from 1 species
UGGGGAAUUUUGGACAAUGGGCGAAAGCCUGAUCCAGCAAUGCCGCGUGUGUGAAGAAGGCCUUCGGGUUGUAAAGCACUUUUGUCCGGAAAGAAAUCCUUGGCUCUAAUACAGUCGGGGGAUGACGGUACCGGAAGAAUAAGCACCGGCUAACUACGUGCCAGCAGCCGCGGUAAUACGUAGGGUGCAAGCGUUAAUCGGAAUUACUGGGCGUAAAGCGUGCGCAGGCGGUUUGCUAAGACCGAUGUGAAAUCCCCGGGCUCAACCUGGGAACUGCAUUGGUGACUGGCAGGCUAGAGUAUGGCAGAGGGGGGUAGAAUUCCACGUGUAGCAGUGAAAUGCGUAGAGAUGUGGAGGAAUACCGAUGGCGAAGGCAGCCCCCUGGGCCAAUACUGACGCUCAUGCACGAAAACGUGGGGAGCAAACAGGAUUAGAUACCCUGGUAGUCCACGCCCUAAACGAUGUCAACUAGUUGUUGGGGAUUCAUUUCCUUAGUAACGUAGCUAACGCGUGAAGUUGACCGCCUGGGGAGUACGGUCGCAAGAUUAAAACUUAAAUGAAUUGACGGGGUCAUAGCUGUUUCCU